rnacentral:misc_RNA from 1 species
GAUGAAGAACGCAGCGAAAUGCGAUAAGUAGUGUGAAUUGCAGAAUUCAGUGAAUCAUCGAAUCUUUGAACGCACAUUGCGCCCCUUGGUAUUCCAUGGGGCAUGCCUGUUCGAGCGUCAUUUGUACCUUCAAGCUCUGCUUGGUGUUGGGUGUUUGUCUCGCCUCUGCGUGUAGACUCGCCUCAAAACAAUUGGCAGCCGGCGUAUUGAUUUCGGAGCGCAGUACAUCUCGCGCUUUGCACUCAUAACGACGACGUCCAAAAGUACAUUUUUACACUCUUGACCUCGGAUCAGGUAGGGAUACCCGCUGAACUUAAGCAUAUCAAUAACGGAGGA